rnacentral:lncRNA from 1 species
UGCCGCGAGCACUGCCCGCAGGAGAGCGGCAGCACUACAGAGGCGCCGCGGCCCCGCUGCACUGCGCGCUCCCUCCCUUCAGGGGACGGUGCUGCGCACAAAGGGCGGCUCAGCAUUGUUCUCCUCCCUGACCCCCAAAUCCCCUCUUCCCCGCCGGGAGAGGCGAACGGGAAGGGCCAGGACGAAGGGCGAAGACGGGGAGAGGCCAACUGCCCGCGGCGCUGGCCGCUUCCCAGCGUAUCCUGCCUGCCAUCUUCACCUUUCCCAAAACUUGCCUUCGUGCCGUGCCUGCCGUCGAAGCCCGCCUGCCCACCAUCCCUCGUUCCCUCUUCGCAAUGUAAUGGGUUUUUCACAUGUCACUUCGCCUAAAAAUCCCACUGAGGCUACAAAGGAACCUCUGCCCACAUCCCAGCCACCCAAGCAUCCUUGUCGAGCUUGUGCACGGGAUCACCCCGUUCACAUACCCACAGGGGAGAAAAAAACCCGCAACUGUACCAAUGCAAGCCCAGUGCAUUCCUGUCGCCACGCUCACAACUCCAUGGAGCAGACACCAAGAUACCGAGAGCCAGCAGAAAACUCAUAGCAUGUGAAGAAGAGAGUUGGAGCUACAACACGACACUGAGGAAAAACCACGGCUCGAUUUAAAUAAUUGCAUAAUAUUAGGAUUUAACUUAUAAAUGUUUACAUUUGUGUGAUUUGAUUAAUGUCACGUUUGAUUUCCUUAAAGCCACUGACAAGGUACUUUAAAACACGAGAUUAACGUCUACCAGCGAUGAAAUUCAACAGGCAAAUCCCCUUCCCAACACGCGGGCAGGCAGGGACCUCAGACCGCCUUUCUGCUCCCCGUAGCCCUCGGCCAAGGGGGCUCCCGGCACAUCCCGUGGUCAGCGAUCCCCCUCCCCCGCAGGUGACAGGAUUCCCGGCCGGUCCCUCCCCCGGCACCCGCCGCGCUGCGCGGGGCUCCGCCGGCGCUCCCGUUCAAA